ACAUCAUCAACUACGAACCUCUGGUACCACGACCACCACCUCCACCAACAACAACAUCAUCGUUCUAAGCGAUAACGCAGCCAGAUGUCAAUCUAUUUUUCAGCUUUUGAAGGGAUUUCAACAUAACCCUGCGACGACAACGAAGCUCUUCAGUCAGCACAUACAAAUUGAAACAACGAUCGGUCAAGUGCCUUACGAUAUCAGCCGAGCGUAUAACGGAAAUCUCCUGAGAAGAUUAUGUUGAUAUGGUUCCAGGCCAACCGUUAAUGGAAUCUCAUUACAA